rnacentral:rRNA from 1 species
GACGAACGCUGGCGGCGUGCUUAAUACAUGCAAGUCGAACGAAGUGGCGAACGGGUGAGUAACGCGUAAUCAACCUGCCCUUCAGAGGGGGACAACAGUUGGAAACGACUGCUCAUACCGCCUACUGUGGGCGGGGCUUGCGUCUGAUUAGCUAGUUGGAGGGGUAACGGCCCACCAAGGCGAUGAUCAGUAGCCGGUCUGAGAGGAGGAACGGCCAAAUUGGGACUGAGAAACGGCCCAGACUCCUACGGGAGGCAGCAGUGGGGAAUCUUCCGCAAUGGACGAAAGUCUGACGGAGCAACGCCGCGUGAGUGAUGACGGCCUUCGGGUUGUAAAGCUCUGUUAAUCGGGACGCGGUACCGGAAUAGAAAGCCACGGCUAACUACGUGCCAGCCGCCGCGGUAAUUC